rnacentral:rRNA from 1 species
AACGAACGCUGGCGGCAGGCCUAACACAUGCAAGUCGAACGAAGCUUUUCUCAUUGAGGAAAGACUGAGUGGCGGACGGGUGAGUAACACGUGGGAAUUUACCUUAUAGUGGGGGAUAACUUCUGGAAACGGGAGCUAAUACCGCAUACGCCCUUAGGGGGAAAGAUUUAUCGCUAUAAGAUGAGCCCGCGUUGGAUUAGGUAGUUGGUAGGGUAAAGGCCUACCAAGCCGAUGAUCCAUAGCUGGUUUGAGAGGAUGAUCAGCCACACUGGGACUGAGACACGGCCCAGACUCCUACGGGAGGCAGCAGUGGGGAAUCUUAGACAAUGGGGGCAACCCUGAUCUAGCCAUGCCGCGUGAGUGAAGAAGGCCUUAGGGUUGUAAAGCUCUUUCACCUGUGAGGAUGAUGACAGUAACAGGAUAAGAAGGACCGGCUAACUCCG